rnacentral:rRNA from 2 species
UUACCGAGUGAGGGCCCUCUGGGUCCAACCUCCCACCCGUGUUUAUUUUACCUUGUUGCUUCGGCGGGCCCGCCUUAACUGGCCGCCGGGGGGCUUACGCCCCCGGGCCCGCGCCCGCCGAAGACACCCUCGAACUCUGUCUGAAGAUUGUAGUCUGAGUGAAAAUAUAAAUUAUUUAAAACUUUCAACAACGGAUCUCUUGGUUCCGGCAUCGAUGAAGAACGCAGCGAAAUGCGAUACGUAAUGUGAAUUGCAAAUUCAGUGAAUCAUCGAGUCUUUGAACGCACAUUGCGCCCCCUGGUAUUCCGGGGGGCAUGCCUGUCCGAGCGUCAUUUCUGCCCUCAAGCACGGCUUGUGUGUUGGGCCCCGUCCUCCGAUCCCGGGGGACGGGCCCGAAAGGCAGCGGCGGCACCGCGUCCGGUCCUCGAGCGUAUGGGGCUUUGUCACCCGCUCUGUAGGCCCGGCCGGCGCUUGCCGAUCAACCCAAAUUUUUAUCCAGGUUGACCUCGGAUCAGGUAGGGAUACCCGCUGAACUUAAGCAUAU